rnacentral:rRNA from 1 species
UACGGAAGGCAGCAGUGGGGGAAUAUUGGACAAUGGGCGAAAGCCUGAUCCAGCCAUGCCGCGUGUGUGAAGAAGGUCUUCGGAUUGUAAAGCACUUUUAAGUUGGGAGGAAGGGCAUUAACCUAAUACGUUAGUGUUUUGACGUUACCGACAGAAUAAGCACCGGCUAACUUCGUGCCAGCAGCCGCGGUAAUACGAAGGGUGCAAGCGUUAAUCGGAAUUACUGGGCGUAAAGCGCGCGUAGGUGGUUUGUUAAGUUGAAUGUGAAAGCCCCGGGCUCAACCUGGGAACUGCAUCCAAACUGGCAAGCUAGAGUAUGGCAGAGGGUGGUGGAAUUUUCCUGUGUAGCGGUGAAAUGCGUAGAUAUAGGAAGGACACCAGUGGCGAAGGCGACCACCUGGGGCUAAUACUGGACACGUGAGGUGCGAAAGCGUGGGGAGCGAAACAGGGAUUAGAUACC